rnacentral:rRNA from 1 species
UUGGAGGGCAAGUCUGGUGCCAGCAGCCGCGGUAAUUCCAGCUCCAAUAGCGUAUAUUAAAGUUGUUGCAGUUAAAAAGCUCGUAGUUGAAUUUCGGGGUCAGCAGGUUGGUCGUGCCAAUGGUAUGUACUGGCCUUGCUGAUUCCUCCCUCUUGUAGAACCGUAAUGCCAUUAAGUUGGUGUUGCGGGGAAACAGGACUGUUACUUUGAAAAAAUUAGAGUGUUUAAAGCAGGCUAACGCCUGAAUACAUUAGCAUGGAAUAAUGAAAUAGGACGAUCGAUCCUAUUUUGUUGGUUUCUAGGAUUGACGUAAUGAUUAAUAGGGAUAGUUGGGGGCAUUAGUAUUCAAUUGUCAGAGGUGAAAUUCUUGGAUUUAUUGAAGACUAACUACUGCGAAAGCAUUUGCCAAGGAUGUUUUCAUUAAUCAAGAACGAAAGUUAGGGGAUCGAAGACGAUCAGAUACCGUCGUAGUCUUAACCAUAAACUAUGCCGACUAGGGAUCGGAUGAUGUUAAUUUUUUAAUGACUCAUUCGGCGCCUUACGGGAAAC